GCAACAUGCUUAUUCUUUUUAUGGUUAUCAUAUCUUAUGUGGCUCCGGUACAAUGUUUUGCUGGGGCUGACGUCUUGAGAUGGAGGUCUUUCUAUGCAACAGAAGAUAAUGCUUGGAGGGCACACUAUAGGGAGGUAUUUGAUCAUGGCAUUCGUGAAGCUUUGUGCUGUCUGGGACGGGUCAAAUACUUGACCGUGCUAGAGGAAGAUGAGGUUUGUUCUGUGGCACAGUUACUUGGUGAUCUUGUCACUUACCGGGCAUCUGGAACAGGUCAUUUAGAGCUCUUGGCAGGACUAGCUUUAUUGCAGAAUUCUUCUUCCUUCUCUAAAUCCUAUGAAGAGUCAAGGGUUGUACCCAUUGAAAGGAUGCGCAAGGCUGCUUUCUAUCAUCCAUUUGCUGAAGCAGCCUACACGGGUCUAUUACUUGAUAUAGGAAGAAAUCCUGUACUUUUUUCUUGUUCAUGGCUCUAUAGGCAAGGCAUUCUUGCUCCCUGGCUUUGGAACAGGCGACCUUUACUAGAAGGUGACAACUGGUGGCGAG
rnacentral:misc_RNA from 1 species